rnacentral:rRNA from 1 species
GAUGAACGCUGGCGGCGUGCUUAAGACAUGCAAGUCGAACGGAGUGUGUAGCAAUACUCACUAAGUGGCGAAUGGGUGAGUAACACGUAGGUGACCUGCCCUGAAGUGCGGAAUAACAGUCCGAAAGGAUUGCUAAUACCGCAUGUGGUCCCGGGCGUUAGAGAACCGGGUCUAAAGCAGUAAUGCGCUUCAGGAGGGGCCUGCGGUCCAUCAGCUAGUUGGUAGGGAAUGGCCUACCAAGGCAACGACGGAUAGGGGACCUGAGA